CGGAGCGUAGCUCAGCCUGGUAGAGCGCCAGCUUUGGGAGCUGGAUGUCGCGAGUUCGAAUCCCGCCGCUCCGA
rnacentral:tRNA from 1 species